rnacentral:antisense_RNA from 1 species
CUUGACGGACCCCACCCACAGCGGACGCCCGGCCGGACGGUCCUGCCCGUACGUGGCGAUCAGCGCCUGCGCCUC